GACGAACGCUGGCGGCGUGCUUAACACAUGCAAGUCGAACGGAAAGGCCCUGCUUUUGUGGGGUGCUCGAGUGGCGAACGGGUGAGUAACACGUGAGUAACCUGCCCUUGACUUUGGGAUAACUUCAGGAAACUGGGGCUAAUACCGGAUAGGAGCUCCUGCUGCAUGGUGGGGGUUGGAAAGUUUCGGCGGUUGGGGAUGGACUCGCGGCUUAUCAGCUUGUUGGUGGGGUAGUGGCUUACCAAGGCUUUGACGGGUAGCCGGCCUGAGAGGGUGACCGGCCACAUUGGGACUGAGAUACGGACCAGACUCCUACGGGAGGCAGCAGUGGGGAAUAUUGCACAAUGGGCGGAAGCCUGAUGCAGCAACGCUGCGUGCGGGAUGACGGCCUUCGGGUUGUAAACCGCUUUCGCCGGUGACGAAGCGUGAGUGACGGUAAUGGGUAAAGAAGCACCGGCUAACUACGUG
rnacentral:rRNA from 1 species